rnacentral:rRNA from 1 species
UGGAGACAGGUGGUGCAUGGUUGUCGUCAGCUCGUGUCGUGAGAUGUUGGGUUAAGUCCCGCAACGAGCGCAACCCUUAUUCUUAGUAGCCAGCAAGUAAAGCUGGGCACUCUGGGGAGACUGCCGGGGAUAACCCGGAGGAAGGCGGGGAUGACGUCAAAUCAUCAUGCCCCUUAUGAUUUGGGCUACACACGUGCUACAAUGGCGUAAACAAAGGGAAGCAAAAGAGUGAUGUGGAGCAAAUCCCAAAAAUAACGUCUCAGUUCGGAUUGUAGGCUGCAACUCGACUACAUGAAGCUGGAAUCGCUAGUAAUCGCGAAUCAGAAUGUCGCGGUGAAUACGUUCCCGGGUCUUGUACACACCGA